rnacentral:rRNA from 1 species
GCUCAACUUGAGAGUUUGAUCCUGGCUCAGAACGAACGCUGGCGGCAUGCCUAACACAUGCAAGUCGAACGAGAAGUAUCCUUCGGGAUAUGGACAGUGGCGCACGGGUGAGUAACGCGUGGGGACCUACCUUUCAGUAUGGAACAACCGUUGGAAACGACGAUUAAUACCAUAUACGACCUUUUUAUUGAUUUAGGGGGGUGAAAGAUUUAUCGCUGAGAGAUGGACCCGCGUUGGAUUAGAUAGUUGGUGAGGUAAUGGCUCACCAAGUCUGCGAUCCAUAGCUGGUUUGAGAAGAUGAUCAGCCACAUUGGGACUGAGACACGGCCCAGACUCCUACGGGAGGCAGCAGUGGGGAAUAUUGCACAAUGGGCGCAAGCCUGAUGCAGCAAUGCCGCGUGAGUGAAGACGGCCUUAGGGUUGUAAAAC